rnacentral:rRNA from 1 species
UACGAAGGGGGCUAGCGUUGCUCGGAAUUACUGGGCGUAAAGGGCGCGUAGGUGGCGGCUUAAGCGUGCGGUGAAAGCUCGGGGCUCAACCCCGAGUCGGCCGUGCGAACUGAGUCGCUUGAGCACUGUAGAGGCAGGCGGAAUUCCGGGUGUAGCGGUGGAAUGCGUAGAGAUCCGGAAGAACACCGGUGGCGAAGGCGGCCUGCUGGGCAGUAGCUGACACUGAGGCGCGACAGCGUGGGUAGCAAGCAGG